rnacentral:rRNA from 1 species
AUUGAACGCUGGCGGCAGGCCUAACACAUGCAAGUCGAGCGGAGCGGCGGACGGGUGAGUAAUGCCUAGGAAUCUGCCUGGUAGUGGGGGAUAACGUCCGGAAACGGGCGCUAAUACCGCAUACUAUCAGAUGAGCCUAGGUCGGAUUAGCUAGUAGGUGGGGUAAAGGCGUACCUAGGCGACGAUCCGUAGCUGGUCUGAGAGGAUGACCAGCCACACUGGAACUGAGACACGGUCCAGACUCCUACGGGAGGCAGCAGUGGGGAAUAUUGGACAAUGGGCGCAAGCCUGAUGCAGCCAUGCCGCGUGUAUGAAGAAGGCCUGCGGGUUGUAAAGUACUUUCAGCGGGGAGGCGUUACUCGCAGAAUAAGCACCGGCUAACUCCGUGCCAGCAGCCGCGGUAAUUC